ensembl:lncRNA
AUGACUGAGGCACAUGUUCCCAAACAUUGGGUCUCACUUGAAUCCCUUUUCCACCUACAGUGUGUGAGCCUCAUCUAAACCUGAGACCCCCUAAUCUUAUCAGGAGUGCCAAACUCAGUUGAGCCCAUUAGAAAUAAAUAAAACAUUCCCAUUCAGGGCCAGGCUUGCUUCUGCUUCAGACACAGAAAGAGCACUGCACUGCCUAUCAACUCCCAGAAGACAUCUCGCCAUCUCUGUGACACAUCUGCUCAGUCAUCCAAUGAUAUGCUCCAAUGACCUUGCCACGCUAGAAGCCCCGCCUUUUCUUGCAUAACUCUUGCCUUUUCCUUUACCUCUUUUAAAGAUAGAAGUCUGCUCUAUUUAGACCUCUUUUGAGGCAGAAGUUGUUCCUCUCCAGUACCACCUAUGAAACACAGCUCUGGCUCUACUUGUUUUGCAUUAUAUAAGGUAUAGGUCCGCCUCUACCUGCAUCAUCUGUAAGUUAAAGGCUGAAAGCUAUAUGCCUGUCCUCUGCUUAUGUGAUCUGCCUGAGUAAGAGGAGGCUCAGAUGGCUCAGAUCAUGUCUUGUGAAUUGUAGUCCAUUGUAAGAAAGGUUCUUUAUGAUAAACUGAGCGUCCUCACACCAUGCCUGCACAUUAAUUGGACUGCGUGCACUCUAUAAGUUCUGCCCUACUCAGUAUAACCUGUGCUCUACCUGCCUCCUCUAUAAUGUAUAUGUACCACCCUACAUGACUUGUCUGUAGGGUAUAUGUCCUACCCGACUUUGUUAAGUAUAAUUCCCACCCUACAUGUCUCCUCUGUUAAGUGUAUGACUGUACACCCUACAUGUCUCCUCUGUUAAGUGUUAAGGGUAUGACUGUACACCCUACAUGUCUCCUCUGUAAAGUGUUAAGUGUAUGACUGUACACCCUACAUGUCUCCUCUGUUAAGUGUUAAGGGUAUGACUGUAUACCCUACAUGUCUCCUCUGUUAAGUGUAUGACUGUACACCCUACAUGUCUCCUCUGUUAAGUGUUAAUGUACACCCUACAUGUCUCCUCUGUUAAGUGUUAAGGGUAUGACUGUACACCCUACAUGUCUCCUCUGUUAAGUGUUAAGGGUAUGACUGUAAACCCUACAUGUCUCCUCUGUUAAGUGUUAAGGGUAUGACUGUACACCCUACAUGUCUCCUCUGUUAAGUGUAUGACUGUAUACCCUACAUGUCUCCUCUGUUAAGUGUUAAGUGUAUGACUGUACACCCUACAUGUCUCCUCUGUUAAGUGUUAAGGGUAUGACUGUAAACCCUACAUGUCUCCUCUGUUAAGUGUU